UGGAUACGUUUUAUCAAGAUGUUCUCUCUUCCUCUUUCUUGCUGUGGUUUGAGAACUUAGGUUACUCAUACUCAGUCAUGGUACUAACUUAAUCCAUUUAAAGAAGGUUUGAUCUUUUCAAAGCAUGGUUUUAUUUUAUUUGGUAUAAAAAAGGGAACAUCUUGUGAUUAUUCCAUUGUAUUAAGGUUCGGUGACUGUUUGCGAUCUAAAGUCUCUGCAUCAACUUUAUUUGAUCUAGUUGAUCAAAUUUGUUGAUUUACAGUGCAUAAACGGAUACUGCUAAUGAGUUUUGGAAUGUUUCCAUUGCAAGAAGAAGAUGGGGACGUAGAAGAAAAGAAAGGAAAAAAAAAGAAUCGUUCUUCACCAAUAAUUUUCUGAAAGAACCAGAUAAAACUGGUUAUCCUUUAAUCCUGUAUUGCUUCAAAAAAUGAAAAAAAAACAAAAGUUAUCCUGUAUUAUUUUAAGUAAUAUAUAUUCAGUAAUAUUUGUAAGU